rnacentral:rRNA from 1 species
AUACGGAAGGUGCAAGCGUUAAUCGGAAUCACUGGGCGUAAAGCGCUCGUAGGUGGCUUUGUAAGUCAGGGGUGAAAUCCCGCAGCUCAACUGCGGAAUUGCCCUUGAUACUGCUGGACUUGAGUUCGGGAGAGGGUGGCGGAAUUCCAGGUGUAGGAGUGAAAUCCGUAGAUAUCUGGAGGAACAUCAGUGGCGAAGGCGGCCACCUGGACCGAUACUGACGCUGAGGUGCGAAAGCGUGGGGAGC